rnacentral:lncRNA from 1 species
UUCACUGUCAGCUAUACAGAAAUGGAACAUGCCAUAGUCUGUUGAAUACCUGUAAAGAACCGGUAAUCUGAUUUAAACAGAUUCCUUUCAGGAGACUACAACAUGCAUACACGAAAGAUGGUCUCGAAUCUUGAUGUUGCGUACAAACUUAGCUUCCAUUAACAAUUUAUAUUGUAUUUCUGGUAAAUUACUUACCAAAACUUAGCUCUGUUCUCAGCAGGAACAUAAAACAUGGUCUCAGCUAUGACACCACAUUCACCACCAGAAUCGUUUCCGUCGUAGAACGAC